rnacentral:rRNA from 1 species
AGAAUCAACGCUGGCGGCGUGCCUAACACAUGCAAGUCGAACGAGAAAGUGGAGCAAUCCAUGAGUAAAGUGGCGCACGGGUGAGUAACACGUGACUAACCUACCCUUGAGUGGGGGAUAACCUAGAGAAAUCUGGGCUAAUACCGCAUAAUACCUUCGGGUCAAAGGAGCAAUUCGCUUAAGGAGGGGGUCGCGGCCGAUUAGUUAGUUGGCGGGGUAAUGGCCCACCAAGACUAUGAUC